GUAGGUGAACCUGCGGAAGGAUCAUUACAGAGUUCAUGCCCUCACGGGUAGAUCUCCCACCCUUGAAUACUAUACCUUCGUUGCUUUGGCAGGCCGUGGAAACACCACGGGCCUCGGCUAGUGCGUGCCUGCCAGAGGAAACAAGCUCUGUUUUUAGUGAUGUCUGAGUAACUAUAUAAUAGUUAAAACUUUCAACAACGGAUCUCUUGGUUCCCGCAUCGAUGAAGAACGCAGCAUCUGACUGACUUCA
rnacentral:misc_RNA from 1 species